rnacentral:rRNA from 1 species
CCUACGGGUGGCAGCAGUGGGGGAUAUUGCACAAUGGGGGAAACCCUGAUGCAGCGACGCCGCGUGUGGGAAGACGGUCCUCUGGAUUGUAAACCACUGUCCCCAGGGAAGAAAAUGACGGUACCUGACUAAGAAGCCCCGGCUAACUACGUGCCAGCAGCCGCGGUAAUACGUAGGGGGCAAGCGUUAUCCGGAUUUACUGGGUGUAAAGGGAGCGUAGACGGUCCUGCAAGCCAGAUGUGAAAGCCCGGGGCUCAACCCCGGGACUGCAUUUGGAACUGUAAGGCUAGAGUGUCGGAGAGGCAGGCGGAAUUCCUAGUGUAGCGGUGAAAUGCGUAGAUAUUAGGAGGAACACCAGUGGCGAAGGCGGCCUGCUGGACGAUGACUGACGUUGAGGCUCGAAAGCGUGGGGAGCAAACAGGAUUAGAUACCCUGGUAGUC